GGACCAGGGCUUGCGGACUGGGGUUCUGUGUUACUGACAUAUGGCUUGAGAAUGCCACCUGCCAGCCUGAGCCCCUGAGGAAGAAAAUAGACCAGUCAGGUUUUUUUUUCUGUUGGAAACUCCCAGGAUUAAGCCUUGGCCUUUAGGUAUACAGGAGAGUGGAGCCAAGACAGUCUGUGGAGCUGGAAAGUCUGCUUCCCACUCCCUUGCACAAGGAACAGGGCCUGACCUCUUGACUGCUUCUUGCCCACUUCAGGAAGGGGUGGACUCACUGAGAAAUACAGCAAAGAUUGUAUCCCAUCUCCCAGGACCACCAUAGGAUUGCUGCCAUCCAGAGAUUGCUGCAUGAAAUUCUUCUCUGCAUUUGAAGCUGCUGGUGUAUAACAGAUACCGACCAUAUGUUCUUCCAGAGUUGAGCACAGUAGUAAGAAAACUGCAAUGUUCUUACACUCUUGAUCAUCCAUCCACCACUUCCACCAUAAUGAACCUUUAACUAGAAUGAAAGAGAGGAACAAUACAGGAGGCCCUUUCCCAACUGCUUGUAUGUCAUGUUCUAACAAAUAGCAGUUGGCAGUUGGUAAUGUUCAGGUUCAGUCUAACUCCCAUUACUACUGAAAAAUUCGGGUAUCACCCAUAGCAUUUCAUUGGUGAGUUCACUUCAGUAAUGAGAGGGCACUUUGGGGAGUACAAAGCCUAAGUCCCUGAGGCCACACACAAAGAACAGAGCAGCCACAUUUCUUUUACUAUUUUUGCUAAUAAACACAUGCAUCAGUAACUGCCAUAACUUAAUUACUGCAAAGUAGCUUGAAACCACUAACUUAACACUGCAUAAACAAGACGUAAAAACAACCUCACUAGGAAUAUCAUUCCUCAUCCUUGGACUUGGACCCACUAAAGUCAAUGGCAUGAAAUUAAUGGGAGGAAGGUUGGGCCCCUUGUGUCCCUACUGGGUUAGGACUUCAAUGCAUUGUGCCUGGGAAACCCCAUUUCCUUGUAGCGUUUGCAGUUUCAUUUACAUGACAUUUCAUAAAGGUUUCUCUUUCCAAGUAAAAUGCAGGAGUGAGUUUGUUUUUUAACUUUAUACAUGAGGGAUUAGAUCAUCACCUCUCUAACUAGUGCC